rnacentral:rRNA from 1 species
UACGAAGGGGGGCUAGCGUUGCUCGGAAUUACUGGGCGUAAAGCGCACGUAGGCGGUCUUUUAAGUCGGGGGUGAAAUCCUGGAGCUCAACUCCAGAACUGCCUCGAUACUGGAAGACUCGAGUCCGGGAGAGGUGAGUGGAACUGCGAGUGUAGAGGUGAAAUUCGUAGAUAUUCGCAAGAACACCAGUGGCGAAGGCGGCUCACUGGCCCGGUACUGACGCU